UUAAAAAACAAUUAAGAUUUCUCCAUAAAAAUUCCACAAUAUCAUCACUACAGCUUUUGGUGCUUUAGUGAAGUUAUAUUUAUUUACAUUGAAUUACCUAAAAUGUCAUCAUUUUGUACAGGAACAAGUUAUUAUUAAUUUAAAAAGGUCAGAAAAUAAUGAAAAAUCGUAAUCGCGACAGACACAUUUCCAGAUUUUCUGGAGUCUUAUCUCAAUCAGCCCAGCCAAUUAGUUAUCUGAUGAAUUACUUUUGGUAUACCACAGGGGUCAAUAGUGGGGCCUCUUUUUUCACUAUAUAUUGACGAUCUUAUACAAGUAUUGAAAUCUCAGGUAAGUUCACUGUCUUUGCUGAGGACAGAACUAUUAUUUGGAACGGAAAAAAUAUCACUUCACUUGGGGCAACUUUAAUAGAUUAUGUUAAAUCAACAAAACUAUAAUAUAUAUGACACCAACCAUCUUGCUUUGAAUAAUUCCAAGAUCAAUAUUUUGUGAUUUAGGUGUGGUUUGGAAGAUUCAAAUACAAACACAAUGACACCAUUAUACAUUGUCCUACUGCUAAAUAUCCAGUAGUAUUUAUUGACAAAUUGGAGUGGUGGCAGAUGAACUUGGGCGUGUCAGCAGAGAUCCAACGCCAGUGGGGAUUCUUUCUUCCAGCAGGAGGUAUUUGAAAUAUUUUAUUUAACUUUGAAUUAUGUGGGCAAAAUUUGUAAUUUUCACAAUUUCCAUCAUCACGUGAUACUAGUAAUGUUUUCUUUAGAAAUAAAAUUAUUCAUCGAUAAUAAAGAUCUUAGAAACUC